GUUAAGCAAUAUCUGAAAAACAAUGUUCAAGCAGAGUAGAGACUAACAUAGUGUUUGGCUCAAUUCUACCACAAAUUUUGGAAUUCAUUUGAAUCGAAUUCUAAAUAGAAUUUAUUUGAAAUGUAUUCCACUAUUUGAUAUGAUACAACCUAAAAUACAUAAUUCAAUUGAAUUUCAGAUAAUUCAUGUUUGAUAUAAUUCCAGAAUUGAAAUUCAUUUGUCCUCA
rnacentral:misc_RNA from 1 species